GAUGAGCCAAGAUUUGUAGCCAUAAGCUACUAAUGAUUUUAACUGAAGAGUUUGAUCAUGGCUCAGAUUGAACGCUGGCGGCAGGCUUAACACAUGCAAGUCGAGCGGGGAAGGGUAGCUUGCUACCUGACCUAGCGGCGGACGGGUGAGUAAUGCUUAGGAAUCUGCCUAUUAGUGGGGGACAACAUUCCGAAAGGAAUGCUAAUACCGCAUACGCCCUACGGGGGAAAGC
rnacentral:rRNA from 1 species